GGCGUAAAGCGCACGCGGGGGGUCUGUCAAGUCGGAUGUGAAAUCCCCGGGGCUCAACCUGGGAACUGCAUCCGAAACUGGCAGGCUAGAGUCUUGUAGAGGGGGGUAGAAUUCCAGGUGUAGCGGUGAAAUGCGUAGAGAUCUGGAGGAAUACCGGUGGCGAAGGCGGCCCCCUGGACAAAGACUGACGCUCAGGUGCGAAAGCGUGGGGGAGCAAACAGGAUUAGAUACCCUGGUAGUCCACGCCGUAAACGAUGUCGACUUGGAGGUUGUGCCCUUGAGGCGUGGCUUCCGGAGCUAACGCGUUAAGUCGACCGCCUGGGGAGUACGGCCGCAAGGUUAAAACUCAAAUGAAUUGACGGGGGCCCGCACAAGCGGGGGGAGCAUGUGGGUUUAAUUCGAUGCAACGCGGAAGAACCUUACCUACUCUUGACAUCCAGAGAACUUAGCAGAGAUGCUUUGGUGCCUUCGGGAAACUCUGAGACAGGUGCUGCAUGGCUGUCGUCAGCUCGUGUUGUGAAUGUUGGGGUUAAGUCCCGCAACGAGCGCAACCCUUAUCCUUUGUUGCCAGCGGUUCGGCCGGGAACUCAAAGGAGACUGCCAGUGAUAGACUGGAGAAGGUGGGGAUGACGUCAAGUCAUCAUGGGCCCUUACGAG
rnacentral:rRNA from 1 species